CGGGGUGUGGCGCAGUUGGCUAGCGUGCUUGCAUGGGGUGCAAGAGGUCGUGAGUUCGAGUCUCACCACUCCGAC
rnacentral:tRNA from 1 species